AGUUAUUUAGCUUAUAUUUAAAGCAUAUAUUUUGAAAAUAUAAGAAAGAGGUAUUUAAUAACUU
rnacentral:tRNA from 1 species